AUGCACUCACCUCUGGUUUUCUCUUCUUCUCAGAUUGAAGGUGCACUGGAAGACUCUCCGGUUGGUAAGACUUGCAUCUUAUUUUGUUUGUUGCUUUGCACGUUUAAGUUUACUGGCGUUGAAUAUGUUUUUAUUACGAAUCUGAAACACAAUCGUGAACAUCAGUGCGAGGAAGUGAGCGAAGGUCAUGAACAUGUGAUUGAAGCGAGGUUCGCGAUUGGAGACGAAGAUGUAUCAGAAGUGUUGAAUCGAAGGCGGUGUUCGAAGAAGAAGAAGUAG